rnacentral:rRNA from 1 species
GAACCGCACAAACGUUAUUCGGAAUCACUGGGCUUAAAGGGUGCGUAGGCGGCGCUGUAAGUUGGAUGUGAAAUCCCACAGCUCAACUGUGGAACUGCGUUCAAUACUGCAGUGCUUGAGGGAGAUAGAGGAGAGCGGAACUACGGGUGGAGCGGUGAAAUGCGUUGAUAUCCGUAGGAACACCGGUGGCGAAAGCGGCUCUCUGGGUCUCUUCUGACGCUGAGGCACGAAAGCUAGGGGGUAGCGAACGGGAUUAGAUACCCCGGUAGUCCUAGCUGUAAACGAUGAGCACUGGGUUGGGGAGGUUCCCCAUGCCUUCCUGGCCGAACUGAAAAAGUUAAGUGCUCCGCCUGGGGAGUAUGGUCGCAAGGCUG